AGAUAGGCUUGUUUCAUGUGCAUGGAAAACGUAACUGAUGUGCACAGAGAAUCUGUGGCCUGACUAGGCACUAUACGUGCUGUGGUAGGAUCUGAAAAACUUUGAGAGGACUUUGCCCUAUACAGCAGCUACAGGUGGAAAAAGUGAAAUUCAAAAAAAGGCCAAAAUUCAUUCUAUCAUUCAACAGUCAUUUCCUGGUUGUGUGUACUUUUUUU